CCAGACUCCUACGGGAGGCAGCAGUGGGGGAUAUUGGACAAUGGGGGGAACCCUGAUCCAGCGACGCCGCGUGAGUGAAGAAGUAUUUCGGUAUGUAAAGCUCUAUCAGCAGGGAAGAAGGAGGACGGUACCUGACUAAGAAGCCCCGGCUAACUACGUGCCAGCAGCCGCGGUAAUACGUAGGGGGCAAGCGUUAUCCGGAUUUACUGGGUGUAAAGGGGGCGCAGACGGCAGCGCAAGCCAGGAGUGAAAGCCCGGGGCCCAACCCCGGGACUGCUCUUGGAACUGCGCGGCUGGAGUGCAGGAGGGGCAGGCGGAAUUCCUGGUGUAGCGGUGAAAUGCGUAGAUAUCAGGAGGAACACCAGUGGCGAAGGCGACUUUCUGGACUGUACCUGACGCUGAGGCGCGAAAGCAUGGGGAGCGAACAGGAUUAGAUACCCGGGUACG
rnacentral:rRNA from 1 species